GAUGAACGCUGGCGGCGUGCCUAAUACAUGCAAGUCGAGCGAACAGACGAGGAGCUUGCUCCUCUGACGUUAGCGGCGGACGGGUGAGUAACACGUGGAUAACCUACCUAUAAGACUGGGAUAACUUCGGGAAACCGGAGCUAAUACCGGAUAAUAUAUUGAACCGCAUGGUUCAAUAGUGAAAGACGGUUUUGCUGUCACUUAUAGAUGGAUCCGCGCCGCAUUAGCUAGUUGGUAAGGUAACGGCUUACCAAGGCAACGAUGCGUAGCCGACCUGAGAGGGUGAUCGGCCACACUGGAACUGAGACACGGUCCAGACUCCUACGGGAGGCAGCAGUAGGGAAUCUUCCGCAAUGGGCGAAAGCCUGACGGAGCAACGCCGCGUGAGUGAUGAAGGUCGUCGGAUCGUAAAACUCUGUUAUUAGGGAAGAACAAAUGUGUAAGUAACUAUGCACGUCUUGACGGUACCUAAUCAGAAAGCCACGGCUAACUACGUG
rnacentral:rRNA from 1 species